CCUACGGGGCGCAGCAGUGGGGGAUAUUGCACAAUGGGGGAAACCCUGAUGCAGCGACGCCGCGUGUGGGAAGACGGUCCUCUGGAUUGUAAACCACUGUCCCCAGGGACGAAGAUGACGGUACCUGGGGAGGAAGCUCCGGCUAACUACGUGCCAGCAGCCGCGGUAAUACGUAGGGAGCGAGCGUUGUCCGGAAUUACUGGGUGUCAAGGGAGCGUAGGCGGGACUGCAAGUUGGGUGUCAAAUCUACCGGCUCAACCGGUAGCCGCACUCAAAACUGCAGUUCUUGAGUGAAGUAGAGGCAGGCGGAAUUCCUAGUGUAGCGGUGAAAUGCGGAGAUAUUAGGAGGAACACCAGUGGCGAAGGCGGCCUGCUGGGCUUUUACUGACGCUGAGGCUCGAAAGUGUGGGGAGCAAACAGGAUUAGAUACCCCUGUAGUC
rnacentral:rRNA from 1 species